UUGUCCUGACCUCGGCACCCUCUGUCGCCUAUGCUCAGUUGUCACAGGGGAGUCUGGCAGGACACAAGCACUCUCCCUCUGAGCUUAGGAGACUUUCCUAGGAGUGGGGCCAGUUCUUAAAGGCACGAGAGGACAAU
rnacentral:snoRNA from 13 species